rnacentral:rRNA from 1 species
UACGUAGGGUGCGAGCGUUAAUCGGAAUUACUGGGCGUAAAGCGUGCGCAGGCGGUUUUGUAAGCCGGAUGUGAGAUCCCCGGGCUUAACCUGGGAAUGGCAUUCGGGACUGCAAGGCUGGAGUGCGGCAGAGGAGACUGGAAUUCCUGGUGUAGCAGUGAAAUGCGUAGAUAUCAGGAGGAACACCGAUGGCGAAGGCAGGUCUCUGGGCUGACACUGACGCUCAUGCACGAAAGCGUGGGGAGCAAACAGG